rnacentral:rRNA from 1 species
GACAGAGGGUGCGAACGUUGUUCGGAAUUACUGGGCGUAAAGCGCGUGUAGGCGGUCCAGCAAGUCGGGUGUGAAACCCCUAGGCUCAACCUGGGAAGUGCAUUCGAUACUGUUGGACUGGAGUCCCGGAGAGGAUGGUGGAACUCUCGGUGUAGAGGUGAAAUUCGUAGAUAUCGGGAAGAACAUCGGUGGCGAAGGCGGCCAUCUGGACGGUGACUGACGCUGAGACGCGAAAGCGUGGGGAGCAAACAGG